GGCACAUGGGGCACCUGAUCAUCAUGCCGCGUGUGUGAAGAAGGCCUUCGGGUUGUAAAGCACUUUUGUCAGGAACGAAACGGUGGGGGCUAAUACCUCCUGCUAAUGACGGUACCUGAAGAAUAAGCACCGGCUAACUACGUGCCAGCAGCCGCGGUAAUACGUAGGGUGCGAGCGUUAAUCGGAAUUACUGGGCGUAAAGCGUGCGCAGGCGGUUGUGCAAGACAGAUGUGAAAUCCCCGGGCUCAACCUGGGAAUGGCAUUUGUGACUGCACGGCUAGAGUGUGUCAGAGGGGGGUAGAAUUUCACGUGUAGCAGUGAAAUGCGUAGAUAUGUGGAGGAAUACCGAUGGCGAAGGCAGCCCCCUGGGAUAACACUGACGCUCAUGCACGAAAGCGUGGGGAGCAAACNAGGA
rnacentral:rRNA from 1 species